GACAGCAGCCGCCGCGGUAAUACGAAGGGGGCUAGCGUUGUUCGGAUUUACUGGGCGUAAAGCGCACGUAGGCGGACUUUUAAGUCAGGGGUGAAAUCCCGGGGCUCAACCCCGGAACUGCCUUUGAUACUGGGAGUCUUGAGUUCGAGAGAGGUGAGUGGAAUUGCGAGUGUAGAGGUGAAAUUCGUAGAUAUUCGCAGGAACACCAGUGGCGAAGGCGGCUCACUGGCUCGAUACUGACGCUGAGGUGCGAAAGCGUGGGGAGCAAACAGGAUUAGAUACCCCGGUAGUCCCUGUCUCUUAUAC
rnacentral:rRNA from 1 species